rnacentral:tRNA from 1 species
GGGCAAUUAGCUCAGUUGGUAGAGCAUCUGACUUUUAAUCAGGUUGUCGCAGGUUCGAAUCCUGCAUUGCCCACCA